ensembl:lncRNA
CUGCGCCCCCGCCCCCUCCCGCAGGGGAAGCGGCGCCGAGGGGCGGUUGCUGCCUCCCCCUUCGCAGGCGGACGGGAGCGAGGGCAGCCGCAAAAGGCGAAGUUUGGGGAAAACUUUUCCCCCGCCUCGAGGUAGAGGGCCUGGGGUCGCGGCUCGGCCCCGCCUGAUGGGACGGGGCCCGUGGCGGCAGAUAAGUCCUGAUGCAUGCUGGAAGAAGUGUGUGCUUCAGCACUGAUUAAAGUAAUGUAGGAGUUAAUGAGAAGCUUGCAGAGUAUGUGAAGCAAGAGAAAAUCUUUAACCAGCUCUGCUGUUCCCUCUACAUAGCACAAACUUGUAAGCUGUAACCAGAAGGUAGAUUGAAUGUGUGAAAUGCUGCAGUAGGAGACUCUUGUAAUUGCAUCACAGGUGGAUGCUCACUCAAUUAAUGUGUUAUCAUUUUCACCACACCUAAAAGUUGGGGGUUUGGUUUUUCUGUUUGUUUUUCUCAAAUUUCUGUAAGAUGGCAUAUUUUGAAAUAUAUUUAAAUCCUUGGAUGAAGGAUGCUACAAACCUACAAAGUAGUAUUUUCUGGUUUGUUUUUUUCAUUUCAAACAAUGCCUUUGUUUGUUGGGAUGUUGUUCUUUUGCUUUUUUUUUUUUUCCCCUAUGCUAACUGCUUCCUGGAUUAAUAAAUCGGUAAUACAUAAGAGACUCUCAGGUGGUGGAGGAACACAGUGGUGUAAUAUCAACAUUCUAGUUGUGGGACUUCUAAUUUAAGAAACACAUUGCCAGAAGAAAUAAGAUCAAGGCUGAAUCUUGCUUGCAUUUAGGUCCAAACGUAAGAUCCCCUUUCUAAGCAGUCCCCAGUGAACACUGAGGGUAAUUAAGUAAAAAUAAAACCUUUCACUUCAGCCCUCUCCAUCGUUUUUAACAUAAACAAGAAAAUGCAACACUGUUUUCAUUAUGUGUUCUGAUAUUUCUUAAUUUUGUACUGCAUCUUAAAUUCUCCAGAGGCUUAUAAUUGGUGUGAUUUGGGGGUAUUUCUAGACAAUACUUUUAAGGAAAUCAUCUCACUGUGUCCCAAAAGGAGCUGUUGAGCAGUCAUUCUCUUUAAAAAAAAAGAAAGAAAGAAAGUCUGAAUUUUUACAGCUUUGUCUUCCACCCCCACUGUACCCCCCUUAUUUCUUUCCCCGAAGGAAUUUUCAUAUUUAAUUGUUCAAUUUUUCUUUCCUUAGAUUAAGUUAACUAUUUUUUUGUAUCAGUUGGAUAUUUUUUUAAUCUUUUAAAGAACAGAGCCUUAUCGCUGAGCCAAUCUCUUCAUACUGCAUUGAGAAUAUGACAUAGAAAGGGACUGAAGGAGAGUUGUUUUGUUCUGGGAAAGUCAGUGCUGUUUUUGGAAAACAAAAUAUUAUAGGAAAUGGAAAUUAAAAAUACAUUUUAUGCUGGUGGGAACUUUGUAAUGAGGCUAAGAGAGGAUUUGAGGUCUCAGAAAAGCAAUUAUUACUAGGGAAAAAGCAGGACUUUAUCAUCCAUUUGUAGGAGUUCUCCAGCUGAAUAUCCUUUUGGGGAACUGAAAUUUGGCUCAAGUCUGUUUAUGAACAUCUGCUGAAUGGAAUUUUAAAAAGGCACAGAUUAUAAUCUUAGUUUCUGUUGUCUGUUUAAACUGGAAUUGACAAAAACAAAGUAAAAUGCAAUGGCCUCUUUUUUUUCUUCCUUAAUAGUGAGCUGCAUGAAUCUUCCAUAGUCUAUAGUGCUGAGUACCCAGUUGUGUAUGUUUAUUCUGUACAUUUUUCUGUUUGGCUUAUAACAUACAGAUGUAUAGCCUCCCCACCUGUCUGUAGUUGGAUAAUUCCAUUACUUUCCUAGUGAGCUUUCAAAUUUUGUGGGGUUUUGAGGUUUCUGUUUGUUCCUUUGUUUUUCCACCAGGAGUCUUUGGGAUGUCCGUGUCUCUGAUGUUUUUGUACAAGGAAUAGAGUGAUGUAUUUGAGGGGAAAUUUUGAGAAAUGUUGGGUGUUCCCAGAACUGUCACCAUUUGCUCAGCUUAGCUUUGCACCCUUCCCACCUGUCUUCAACUAGGUUUGUGUAAAUGCAAUCACUUUGUGUCCACUGUCUCUGGAUAGUACUACUUCAGCAUCUAUUUCUGCAGUGUUUGUGACCUCCUGUUAGUCAGGGAGGUCUUCACUGUAAUUUUCCCUCCUGUUAUUUUGCUUCUUUUGCAGCCUGAUGUUUUUGCUGUUGUUUUAUAUUCCCAGCAAGCAUCUUGUGAAUGCUUCAGCUCAAAAUUUAGGUCAUCUAUGAUAGAAGAAGGAAGAGUAAACCUAAAAAGUAAAAAUAAGAUUUCAAUGCGCUUUAAAAAGUGACAACUCUUUUAGGGGAAAAAAGAAAAAAAAAGAAAAAAAAAAGAAAAACAUAUGAACUCUUCUGUAUUUUAUGUUCUGUAUGGACUGGGGAGAAUGGAGGGUGCCUUUGUUUGAUUUCAGGAGGCAAGCUGUGUUAUCUUCAUGUGACCAUGGUUUCUCACCCAUAUGCUUUCCUGGUCGUUUUCAUUUUCACACCUGCCUUGAGCUUUGAUCACUCAAAAUAUUCAUAGACUUGCCCUGGAAAAAUAAGAGACUGACCUUUUCCCAUCUGGAGUAGAUGGAUUUACUAUCAAUAAUUGUAAAUGGACCUGGAUGACUUAAUGGUUUUUAUGCUUAAAUUUUUUAAUUCUGUGAUUUCAUUUCAUUUUAAGGAUUCUGCCCACAAUCUUCCCUGAACUGAUAGAUCUCUAUGGUAUAACUUCAAGUUAUUUCUUGCAAAUUAUAUCUUAAUACUGGGCUCACAUCUGCAAUGUGCUGAUGAUCCCCCAUGAACUGCUGAGUUGUCAAAGAAUGCUCAGUUUGCACAGGAUCAGGCCUGGAGGUUGCAGUUGUCUUUUUUUUUAUUUCCCUUGUAGUUAUAUGCAAUGUCUUUCAUUGCAAAAAAAAAAACCUGAAAACAGUUUAUGAAAUCAGCAGCCACAAAAGUAAUGCAGUGCCCGUUGGGGGUUAUGUAUUCACAUUGAUUACAAUUUAACAAUCCCUCAGCUUGAGGAUAUCUAUGAGAACUUAGAGCCAACUGCUUUUCAAUCCAUGUGUGUUGCUGUAAGCAGCAAGCUGGAAUUGAUAGAUAUCUGUUGCUAUUGCCAGCAACUUGUUUCUCUGUUACUUUAGUAGCUUAAUUUAAAUUAAGAAACUUGUGAAUCUGUUUUGUUUUUCUACUUUUCCUAACACCUAAGCUUCAUCUGGCCUAGAUGUAUAAUAAAUACUUUGAUGAAUGUGAUUUAGUUCAGUUUCCUCCAUUAACUCAAGAAAGAUUUCUUUUCUGGAUUGUUUCUUGUUCAGAAGGAGAGAAGACUUGCAUAGCUGGGGUUCACCUGGACGAAUUGAACUUGGAGCAGAAUAAGAUGCAAAAUGAGAACAGUUGUGAUUUAGACUCUAGAAACUUUGUGUUGUUCUGCUAUAGAAUUGUACUUCGCAAAAGACAACCAGCGAGAGCCACCUGUAACCAAACACACCUUGAUGGUGGAGGGAGCUUCACAAGGUGACUUCAGUGGGCUCAGCUGUGGGGCUGUGUAUUUAGAUCGCCAUCCCAUAUUUCCUCAAUGCUGUCUUUUGCAUGCUAUACUACUGUUUUCUCUGUUUUGCUCUUUCUGAUACUCAGAAUGCAAUUAUUUGUUUGGGUAUUUUUGCUUUUUUUUUUCCCCCCACAAGCAGAUGACAGUUUGCUGUCUCCUCAGUGUCCUCCCAUGGUUCCCUGUAUGAAGUAUGUUACAUUCUGACAGUGGUGCUGUAUUCUCUGCAGCUACAUGGAAGAGCCACUUCAGAAAUCAGCAGCUCUCUAGCUUCCUAGGUUUUAGCUGAGUUUAACCUUUGGUGGUUAGUAAACGGACAUGUUAAGAAAAUGUGUGGCCCAGUCACUCCUCUUUCAAAUUCCAGUCUUGUCAAGCAAACUCUGCACCCUUGUCAGUCUAUAUGUUGGCGUCCCUCUCAUCUUAUUGCAGUUUUUGGCUUUUCUGUGGGAGAUGGGAACUUAUAAAGACAUCUUUAGGGAUGAUGGAUGUUAUAUGUGGGUACAGAUAGCAGUAUUUUUGGUGCAAAUAAGGAAAGAAAAUGCUCUCCAACUUCUGAAUGUAUAUGGUAGGUUCUUUGUUAACACUGGGUCAUUUGUUUCUUCUUCCCUCUGCCUCACAAGUUUGAUAGGAUUGAAAUUAGUUCUGCCAACUUCAUAAAUUAAUGAUGUAUUUCAUGGGCCUGUUUCCAGCCAGAACAAAUCUUGCAAGGAAAGAAAGAAACUGCUUUUUUUUUUCUAAUUUCUAACAACUGUUUAAGAUAUACAUAAGUCUCUUUGAAAGUAAUGCCUCCUUAUUAUUUCCAUGGAAACGAUAACAGAUACAAAGAGCACAAUAACACUAUUUGAUAGAGCAAGAUCUUAGCUGCAAAACACUCUUUUCAACGUAGUCACCACUAUUAGCUGUGCAUUUUCACAAUGAACAAGAGCCUGCAUGCCACACUCAUCAAAAUCUGUGCUGGUGGAGGUGAUUCGCUGCCACCACUGCUGAAACGCAGCACACACUGUCUCACUGUUCACAUCUACAACUUGAUCUCAAUAAAUGUUCAACAAAUGUCAGUGAAUGUCAUGCCAUUUUUUUUUCCACAUGGAGGAAUUCAGUUCCACAUCUUUGCUUCAUAUGCAUGUCCAUGUCAGAUGCCCUUCUGUCAGUGUGCCCCUCUGCUGCCAUCUGUCACAUGGCAACAAAAUGUAAUGGACUAUUGGCAGGAAAGUUCAACUUCUACUGCCAUGCCACCAACACCUGCCUGUGAG